rnacentral:tRNA from 1 species
GAGAGAGGCCAGAGACAAUAAGGGCUGC